GUAGUUCAACAUUAGAAGAGAUCACUAGUGAGGUGCUCAGCCUUAUAUACCGGUAGAAGACUGGAGAGAGAAUGGAGCCAGAACCCAAGAUAAAAGCCUGCAUUUCCCACCCUUUCUUCCUAACAAGAGUGGCUACGUCCCAGCCCAUGCAAACAGCCUGAAAAGCUGAUGUAAUGACUGGAUCUUCAGCAGCCAUUUUGAACAAGAGGUAAAAGCUAGAGGCUGAGGAAUGAUGGAGCAGAAAGAAAGGAAGUGGGGUUCCUAUUAACAUCCUGAAGUUAACUAUCAGACCUGGACUGACCAACGCUUUCUGGCCUUCUUUUAUGAGAGAAAAAUGCACUGUUAUUUAAACCACUAUACUUUUGUUUUCUUUUUUGGGGUACAGACAGCUGAACCUAAUCCUGUCCCAAAUCCUAAUCCUAUCUAACUAGUAUUAGCUAUCAGCCCAUGCUUAUACUGGAGAAUGACAUUUAACAAAAUAAGAUGUUAAAGUUCUAACUAAUUGUAAUAACCAUGCAGUUUUCUCAUGCUGAACAAAGUUAAAGAAAUAUAAUGCGUAUUUCCUAAAGAGUGUCAUUUUUUUGAAAGAUAACGGGACAAAGUAACAUAAAAAUCUACACAUAAUUAUAUAAACAUUGCUUUGACAUACAACACAUUUUUAUUGUGUCUGUGAAUGCAUUACUUGGUAAUAAAAUUGCAGUUAUGAAUAAAUGAUACUUGGUAAACUAUAACAUAAUAGGAGGAGAAGGUAUUAACACUGUGAUUUUACGGGGUUGAAUCAGUUUUAGUUUCUUAUACAACUCAGAGCUUUAUGUUAUUUAAACUGUCUCAACACUGGCACAAGGUAGCAUUUUACUUAUCAAAACACUGGAGGAGGCAGUCUAUUUUAUGUGGGAAUAAUGGUUUUUUAACAGUGUUUGAUUAGGAGACAUUAGGAACCUUGCCUUGAAAACCAUUAGCAAAUUUAUCUAGAAGAAUUUACGUUACAUCCUAAAACAACCAGCCACUAAAGACAUCCUAAACUGCUAACUAUGCCAAUUUGCCUCAGAUGCUUGCCAUAUAAGCUGCUUUCAGGAACCAGCAAUGAAUAUCAUAGAUACUUGAGGAUUAAAGGUUGAAGGAUAUUGACAUUCAAAGGAGAUGAAGCCAGAAACCCAGCACAGCCCCCCCCCCGCCAAAAAAAAAAAAAAUAAACAAACUUGCAUUUUACUUUGGAGUGAAAUUUCUUUGCUAUCUCCAAAGAUUUUAACUUUUGGUUUCUCAACUAGCCCUAGCAAUAUAAGGUUCUGACUAAUGACUCUUCCCAACAUUGUCAAACUUAAUUCAAACUUGAAAUCAAUCCUCUUAUUUUCCCCCUAAAGCAAAGCACCUCACAAUAAUAAUAUGAGUACAUCUGAGUGGCCAAUUUAAAAGUUUAAGUCAUUCUUUUGUAAUCAGUGCUAGAAUUAACUAGUGAUCUGUUUCAGUCUUUUUUUUUUUUCUUUUUUUGGCCAGGAAUAACAAAAUAAUAGAAACUCCAUAUAUAUUAGAAACAGAUCUGUAGGUUUGAGCCUUAUAUAUUAUUACAACAUGGCCAUCAAGAGGAAAUCUCAAGACAACUGUAUAUUGUGCUUGCCCUAUUUUGUUCAAACCCUGAUAAUUUUAAAUAAAUAGUAAUGUUCAACAUUGACUGAUGACAUUAUCUAUCAACCACAUCACACCUGGUACACAGUAGAUAAUAAAUGACAGCUGUUAUACCUUCCUUCUUGAAACAAAAUCCUUUCAUUUCAUUCUCAUUUUGUGUCAAGCUUCUACAAUUCAUAAAAAUCAUAAAAUAAUAAAAGGAAUGGUCCAACAUUA